rnacentral:lncRNA from 1 species
CAUUAUAUCUAUUUUUGCAAGUAUUGCAUUAGCUUUGGAACUCAAGUCAAAUAGAUUGAGACUUGAUAUUAUGUUUCUUGCUAUACAAUUUUCAAUGUUUAUUGAUAGUAACUUACAUCUACUAUUAAGUGAGCCAGAGAAAAUUGAGAAAUAUUAUUCAAGAGAAGAAUCUUGUGAUCAAGCAUAUCUUUCAAGAUGUAUCCCUAGUUUCUUAGUGCAAAUAGAGAAUAUUUCUAAUCAAGCUCUCAAACAUAUAAUAAUUUUUUAAUCUCGAACACUUUAUUGGAGUGGACUUCAGAAGAAAUGGUCUCAGGUAGAUAUGUGUUAUAUUACGCCUAUAGGCAGGUUAACAGAACUUUCUUUUUCCUAAGACCAUGAUUAGGGAUCCUGGUAGAAAAUCGACGGGGGUAAGUCUUGAGCCGAGCUAAGUGGUAUCUGACACAUUUUCAGAAGCAAUUGAAGAUAAUAAUAAAAAAAAUAGAAAAUAAAAUCGAUAAGAUA